GCUCAAUGAUUUUUUAAAUUGCUGUGGUAUUUUGACUAUACAAAGGUAUUGAAAUAAGAUUUUAAUUGAAUGCUAAGAGAAUGGAAUUACAGAAAAUAGCUUUUUUUAGAUUAAAAAUUGAAAUUUUUUUAAUUUGUGCAGAAACAAUUAUUAAUAUUAAGGACAAGAAGACCCUAUGAAUKUAUAAAUUUAUGUUAUAGUAAUUAAUAUAAAAUAAAUUUUGGUUGGGGCGACAAACAAAAAAUAAAAAACUUUUUUUUUAUAAAAUGAUCCAUUAUUAAUGAUUAUAUGAAAAAUACUCUAGGGAUAACAGCGUUAUAUUUUUUGAUAGCUCAUAUUGACAAAAAAGGCUUUGCGACCUCGAUGUUGGAUUAGGAUACUUUUUUAAUGAAGAUAUUAAAAAAAGAAGUUUGUUCAACUUUUAAUUUCCUACUUGAUCUGAGUUCAGACCGG
rnacentral:rRNA from 1 species